rnacentral:tRNA from 1 species
UUGUAGGAAGCUAUAUGAAGCGUCUCAUUGUUACUGAGAAGAUUGGUUUGGUAACCCCACAAA